rnacentral:piRNA from 1 species
UAUGGAAAUUUGUGUUGCAUU